rnacentral:lncRNA from 13 species
UGCUUUGGUGAUGGAGAUGGUGAUGCGCUUCGUUUAGGAGGGGGAGGAGGAGAAGCCGUUCUUCUCUUUGGAGGUGGAGAAGGAGAGUAUCUCCUCUGUAUUGGAGGAGAAUAUCUUCUAGGAGAAGGUGAGCGCCGACGUGGAGGUGGAGAAGGAGUCCUUCGUCGUGGUGGUGGUGUGGGAGACCUGCGCUGUCGAGGAGGAGGGGUGGGCGAAGGAGACCGUCGCCUUCUGGUGGGUGGUGGGGUUGGACUUCUCCUCCGUCUACCACUUUUAGUCACUGGCGAUUGCCAUCGCUUUCCCAUCUGCAUCCGAGGGGAAGUCUCUUUUUGGCGCUGUCGUGGUGAUGGAGAGGCACUCUGGGAAGGGGAAUGUCUCCGCCGCCUGCCAACCUCACCAUUCUUCACAUGGGAUCUCUUGGGUCUUUCAUCUUGUGAGGAGGAGGAGGAGCCAGAGUCAGAUGAAGACUGCUGGUUUUGUCGUCGGUAUUGGCGUCUCUGCUGCACAGAAUCUGCUGCAGCCAUUUUGCCACCUUUAUCUUCUUCCGAUUUAGAUAACUCUACUUUUCUAGGCUUCGGUGCUGGUGAAGGGGAUUCUCUUUUCUCAGUACCUUUAUGUUUUGUUACUGAUGUUCUCCCUGGAGACAUGGAAACACGACUUUUUCUUGUACAGUUUGACUGCUGGGGUGUUGGGGAAUGCCGAGUUUGGGGUGGUGGAGUUGCAGGAGGUGAUGGCCUGUGCCUUCGCCUUAGAGGACUUGCUGAAGGAGAUAACCUACGAGUUUUUCGAAGGGGGCUGGAUGUCCUCUUGGGCGGUUUCUUUGGUGGUGACCGGGAACGAGAUGAAGAGGAUGAUGAGCUACUCCCAGACAAGGAUGCUGACGAACGUCUUCUUCGUCUUACUGGUGAUCUGCUGCUUCUAUGCCUUGGUGGAGGAGGCAUUCUCCUUGGUGGAGUUCUUCUUCGAGGAGAUGGCCGCCUUCUUGGGCUUGGCCACCUUCUAGGUGAAUAUGAUCUCGAUCGAGACCUAUGGUGCCAUCUAGGUCGAGUGUGA